rnacentral:rRNA from 1 species
GACGAACGCUGGCGGCGUGCUUAACACAUGCAAGUCGAACGGUAAGGCCCUUCGGGUACGACGAGUGGCGAACGGGUGAGUAACACGUGGUGAUCUGCCCUGCACUUCGGGAUAAGCCUGGGAAACUGGGUCUAAUACCGGAUAGGACCAUGGACUUCACGGUUUGUGGUGGAAAGCUUUUGCGGUGUGGGAUGGGCCCGCGGCCUAUCAGCUUGUUGGUGGGUAAUGGCCUACCAAGGCGACGACGGGUAGCCGGCCUGAGAGGGUGUCCGGCCACACUGGGACUGAGAUACGGCCCAGACUCCUACGGGAGGCAGCAGUGGGAAUAUUGCACAAUGGGCGCAAGCCUGAUGCAGCGACGCCGCGUGAGGGAUGACGGCCUUC